UGCCAGAUAAGGUCAUCAUCAUAAGUCGGAGCACAAAACCUUCUGAUAGAGAAACCCCUUAUAUCUAGCAACAACUUCUUGUCGAAAAAUGUCAUUGGGACCUCGAAACCUGUGGCAAAGAACACAAUAGAAACAGAAUCAGGAAGAAAAAGUUUGGUAUUUGCGGUUACGAUGAUGAUUCAGUGAAAAACCAAUUUCAAGCUACUGGUGGUACUAAAAACGGUGCUGUAAAAAUAUAUAUAUUUAGGCCAUCUCCAUUGGUUUAUAAGGAAAGUGUUUUUACUAAUAAAAAAAAAAAAGGUGAGGAAAGAGGAAGUGUCUCUAAUCUCUAUGCAGACGAUAUGCAGAGGAAGUGUCUCUAUGCAGACGAUAUGAAGAGGAAGUGUCUCUAAUCUCUAUGCAGACGAUAUGCAGAGGAAGUGUCUCUAAUCUCUCUAACCUCUUCAACCAUUCUUGCUUUUGUGUCAUUAGUAAUCAGUUAACUGGUUCAGUUUAAAAAAAAAUAUAGAAAAAUUAAUUUAAUGAAACUAUGACUAUCUUUUGAAGAAUAUGACCCAUGAUGGUGCUUAUAGGAGAGUUUUUUUGUCCAUCUAGAGUGUCCACAUCAUGAAAAGAACAUUAAAUAUAAUGACGACAAAAAAUAAUUAAUUCAUUUGUUUAUGUAUUAUUCUUAAUGGAAAAAAAUAUUAAAGGAAAACAAUUUCUUUAAAAAAAAUAAAAACAUAAACUAAAAUAUAAACAUCCAAAAAAAUGAAAUAACUAAAUAAAAGACAACAAACUAUCAAAAUUAAAGUUGACUAGAGAUUGUAUCAUAACUUAUAAAAAUGUAAAUGUGUAAAAGUUUUUAAAAGACAAAAUAUAGGAGAAAGAGAAACUUAUCAUGAUUGAAUUCAUAAAUAUUGGUAGCUGUUUUGUUAACAAUUUUUUGGAUAUGAUAUUCAUUUUGGUUUAGUCAACGAAAAUUGAUGUUUUAAAAACUAAAUCAACGAAAAGUUUAUGUUUUGAAUGAUCACAUAAAACGUUCGUGAUUUAAAUGGCCAAAAUUGAAAAGUUUGUCAAACAUUAAUUUAUAGAUGUUUUAUAUUGUACAGUGUUCAUCUUACUAUUAAUGUUUCAUACUGCAGAAAGCAUUAUCUUAUCUUUUUCUUCGGGUCCUGUUGGUCCCUCUCAGCGAAUUAUUGAACUAAUUUACGUUUUGUGAAUUCAAUUUCUUCAUGGUUUCGAAGUUAGAGAGUGUCUCACUUUAAUUUGGAAGAGAGGAAGAGAGACUUAUCCCAAACAGCUAAGCUACUCGAUGGAGCAUUCGAGCGAUGUGAUGGUUGACUCCACCGAAGCUUCUGAUCUCGACAAAGAAGAGCUUCCUCAUGAGGUUAAUCUUUUCUAUCUUUCUCUCAUAUUUCCAAUCAUCAAGUGUAGGAACAAAUGAACUUGGCUGAUGUGUUUAUUUUGUUCAGUUACUCUGUUUAAUCCCACCAUAUGAAGGCAAAACUGUGCUGGAACUUGGAGCUGGUAUUGGCCGUUUCACUGGUGAAUUGGCUCAGAAGGCUGGUGAAGUUAUCGCCCUCGACUUCAUCGAAAGUGCCAUUCACAAGGUUUUUUUUACUACUCCGCUAGCUGUUUCUAUGUUGAAAAGUUUCUAUUUUUACCAUGGAUUCAUCUCAUGUUGGUUUGUUUAUUGGCUGAUGUUGUGUUCUUGCAGAAUGAAAGUGUUAAUGGGCAUUACAAGAACGUUAAGUUUAUGUGUGCUGAUGUAACCUCUCCAGACUUGAAAAUAGCAGAUGGAUCUAUCGAUUUGAUUUUCUCAAAUUGGUUGCUCAUGUAUCUUUCUGACAAAGAGGUGACAUCUGAAUCUUUUACUCUUUUGACUUUGUAGAGAAGAAAGGCUAAUCCUUUUGAUGAUGGUGAUUGCAGGUGGAACUAAUAGCAGAGAGAAUGCUUGGAUGGGUAAAGCCAGGGGGCUACAUUUUCUUCAGAGAGUCUUGCUUCCACCAAUCUGGGGACAACAAGCGUAAAUCAAACCCCAUUCACUACCGUGAACCAAGAUUCUAUACUAAGGUUCAAUAUUCACAUAUCAUUGUUUAUGUUACUAAGAUCAAAUCUCCUAAAUAUAUUUAACUGUAUACGUGACAAUGUAAUGCAGGUUUUCAAACAAUGUCAGACAGGUGAAGCUUCUGGCAAAUCAUUUGAGCUCUCUAUGGUUGGUUUCAAAUGCAUUGGGGAUUAUGUGAAUAACAAGAAGAAUCAGAAUCAGGUAACAAAGUUUUCCUUAUCAGAUAGUUUAGUUUCCUUAUCAUUUGAUCCCAUAGAGUUACAAGAGGUUAACUUUAUCAUCUACUUGGUGGCAGAUUUGCUGGAUAUGGCAAAAAGUUAGCUUGGAGAAUGACAAAACCUUCCAGCGUUUCUUGGACAAUGUUCAAUAUACGUCUAGUGGGAUCUUGCUCUAUGAGCGUGUCUUUGGGGAAGGAUAUAAUAGCACUGGUGGAUUUGGUAAUUCCUCUUUUAACUCUUAUCUUUAAAAGGAUACAUGCGUUUGUAAAUGUUUACCCGCCUCUUGUCUCUAAGUUCAUGGUUUCCUUAACAGAGACAACUAAAGAAUUUGUGGCGAUGAUGGACCUUAAACCUGGACAGAAAGUUCUAGAUGUUGGUUGUGGUAUUGGUGGAGGUGACUUCUACAUGGCUGAGAAUUUUGAUGUUCAUGUAGUUGGAAUCGAUCUAUCGGUCAACAUGAUCUCUUUAGCGCUGGAGCGUGCCAUUGGACUCAAAUGCUCAGUCGAGUUCGAAGUCGCGGACUGCAACACAAAAACAUAUCCCGACAAUUCUUUUGAUGUUAUUUACAGCCGUGACACUUUUCUGCACGUCCAAGUAUAAAGCAAAACUUCACACAACAUAUCUCUUCUUUUUCUCUCUUGAAGAUGCUUUUUUUUGGUUAUUAUCAUCUGCAUCAUUUGUCUCUCUGUUUAGGACAAGCCAGCUCUAUUCAAGAAAUUCUUCAAGUGGCUUAAACCAGGCGGUAAAGUUCUCAUCACUGACUAUUGCAGAAUUGCUGAUACUCCGUCUCUUGAAUUCCAAGAGUACAUGGUACGAAGACGAUAUGAUCUCCACGGUGUUCAAGCUUACGGAAAAGUUUGUGUUUCUUUUCCUCAUCAAACCUUUCAUCUUUUUAUGAAUUCAGGGACAUUUCAUAUUCUUAUAGAGUUCUUAUUUCUGUAGAUGCUGAAAGAAGCAGGCUUUGAGGAUGUGAUUGCUGAUGACCGUACUGAUCAGGUGACUCCCACAUACGUUUUGUUAUACAGUUCUCAAAAUGAUGAUUCUAACAUAACCAUUUUUUGACAGUUUGUACAAGUCCUCAGGCGUGAAUUAGCAAAAGUGGAGAAAGAAAAGGAAGAAUACAUCAACGACUUCUCAGAAGUAAAAAUAAAUAAAGAGUUCUCACAAUUAAAUUUACUGCUUAAAACACAUUUGUGUUGCGUUUCUCAUAUCAAUCCAAUAAUCUGAUUACAGGAGGAUUACAAUGGCAUUGUAAGAGUAUGGACAGCAAAGCUUCGAAAGACUUUAUCUGGUGAACAAAAAUGGGGAUUAUUCAUAGCCAACAAGAAGUCAAAUCUAUAGUUACCCUCAACAAGAACUCUAUAACCUAUCCUCUUGUGAUUCUCUUCCCUGGAGGACAAUAUUUUCUUGUUUUGCUAUCUUGGAAAUGCAAAUUGAAAGAAAAACUAGUUGUGUUGUUCGAUUUCUACUCCAGUCUUUGUGCCAGACAGAACCUGCAUUGCUCUGAUUUUCAUAGAUAUUUUAAAAUAUCUGCCUGAGAUAGUGUAACCGACUUCUCCAGAGAAUUUAUCAAGCUAAGCUUGUUCUUAGUAUGAUAAAGAAAAAAGAAAAAGAUAUGGGAUAAUAUAUGACUCCAGAGACAACAGAGCAAUUAAUGUCCAAGUAAGAGUCAACUCGUUCCAUCAUUUUGUUUAUGAGCCUGGGAUUCCCAGAAGAGUCUAACGGUGGAAUAGAUCAGAGAAGGCUCGGCCAUUGCGCCAUUACCGUAAUCUCCACAGGCCAGUUUCUUCUUGAUGGGCGGAAUGAGAGUAAUUCCAAUCUCAUCAAGCAACACAAGGUGCCGUUCAGUGAAAGGAUUGUUCCACAUCAAAGUGUUCAUCGCAGGUACAACAAACAACGGUUUGCUAUAAUCCCACGCUCUUACUAUACAUGUCAACAGAUUAUCACAUAACCCUCCAGCAAUCUGUAAAAAGAGAAAGAACAACAGCUUUUUUUAGAUCAUGAACAACACAGAAAAAUAUGGAGCCAAAAAGCUAACUCUAGAUCUUCUUCAGCUUACAGUUCCUAUGAUUAUGUUUCUUGAUGACAAGAAUAUGAGCCAAAGAUAAAAAAAAAAAAUCAGUACAGCGGCGAUAUAUAAAGAGAAGUAUGUUUAAAUCAUUAGAAGCAAACAAUCUAAAGAAUUUGUAAAAGCUAUAUCUUCAGCUACGCGCAACUUUAUUAGAAUCUUGAAAAAAGCAAAGAAUAUAGAGCCAAAGAAAUCAACUCUAGUUCUUGAGAUACACACUACUUUGUACAUGAUUCUGCUGCUUGAUGACAAUUAACAUGACCCAGAGAUUUACUCUAGACUAUAGUUGGCAUUAUCAAACAAUCUUGUCACAACAAAUGUAUCUUCUCAUGGUGAUACUUAUAUAAUCAAGAUAGAAGUAUGUCACCGUCAACUCUAGCUCUUCAGCUAAGUUGCUUAGUGAUUCUGCAGCUUGAACAAGAGCCAAAAAAGCUACUCUAGUAGACUAUCCGAUACUAAACAGGGAAGAUCGUAAUGAGAAUAGUAUUUUUUAUACCUUGCCCAAAGUGUUAGCAGACAAAGGAGCAAUGAUCAUAACAUCAGCCCAGCGUCUAAGCUCGAUGUGAAGCACAGGAUCACCAAUCUUGUUCCAGCUAGACCACUCAUCUGCAUCUGUAUAGAAAGUCACAUUCUGAGGAAGAGAAGGUUUAUCCACGAAAUUGAGAGAUGAUUUAGAAGCGACGGCUUUGACAUCAGCCCAUUCUGAGAAACAAUGGCAGAGAUUGCUGAACUUAAUCGCAGCCACACUUCCACUUGCAGCCAGUAAGAUACGAGGCUUCCUUGUUACAUCAUCCACUUGCAUAUUUAUCGCUUCCUCCAUCUCUUACAUCUCCAAGAACAAAUGAUCAAUUUUACUAUACAACGUUGUUCCAGGGGUUACAUGAAAUCGAUCAAAACGAAAUGAGAGAUUCAAUAAAUGGAUCUCAUAGAGCUUGUUGUUACCUUGUAAAGCCGAGGAUGGAGGAAUCUGCGAGAGAAACCCUAAUUGAAGGAGAAAUCGGAAUCAAAAUGAUACCGCGACGGUUUUGUUUUGAGUUUGAAACAAGAGAAGACGGACAGACACAGAGAAAGAGAAGUCGACGUCAUCACUGGUCAAACUAGUCGUUGACUGACUCGCCACAAAUGGGCCUUACAAACUACAUUUCGAUACGAUCCGAAAAGCCCAAUUACACAUACAGCAAUGUUGUUUUUAUCUACUGUGAUUUAAAUGUGAUAGGCCGGUUAAUUAGUUGAAAAUUUUGGAUUUUGAGAAUGUCAGAAUUAAACUCCAAAUCUAUAAACCUCAACAGAAAAAAAAAAGAAUGUUAAAAGAAUUCUUGACGACAAAAGACGUAGUAGCAAAUCUAUUCGGAAAGUUUCCCCUACAUCUCAGAGCUACACAAAGACCAUUAACAACUCUCUACUGUUUAAAAAUCUGCCUCUCAACCUU
rnacentral:lncRNA from 1 species